GGUUCCUUGUUUUAAAGAAAAUAAGGAAUCGGACCUGCCCAGUGAAAAUUUUUAACGGCCGCGGUACUCUGACCGUGCAAAGGUAGCAUAAUCAUUUGCCUUAUAAUUGAAGGCUAGUAUGAAUGGUUUGACAAGAAUAUCACUGUCUCUUUUUGGUUUACUAGAAUUUUAUCUUAAGGUGAAGAAGCCUUAAUUAUAUUAAUAGACAAGAAGACCCUGUCGAGCUUGAAAUCAUUCUAUAGAAUAAAAUUAAAUAAUAAUUAGAAAAAUUACUAUUGAAAAUUUUAGUUGGGGCGACUGAGGAACAAAGAAAGCUUCCUUUAAAACAUUAUAAAUAUUUAUAAAUAUUGAUCCAAAAUUUUUGAUUAAAAGAAUUAGUUACCGCAGGGAUAACAGCAUUAUCUUUUUUAAGAGCCCUUAUCGAAAAAAAGGUUUGUGACCUCGAUGUUGGACCAGAAUAUCCCAAAGAUGCAGAAGUCUUUAAAGGUUGGUCUGUUCGACCAUUAAAAUUCU
rnacentral:rRNA from 1 species